rnacentral:lncRNA from 1 species
UUUCUUCCAUUGAAAGAAAGAGAGAGAUGAAUGAUGAGUCUGAGAGAAUAAUGAACAAGUAAGGAAUGUGGAUAUGUGUAACUGUGUGUGUUAUAUAUAUAUAUAUGAGUGAUGAUGGAUUUAGUAGACAAAAAUGUUGAAAUGUGGUCGGUUCAACCUGAUUUUAUUUUGGUUUGUUGCGAGUUUAGAGACAAUACUCUAUCGGUUUGAUUUGGUUUGCUAUGCUUUAUGUUACAUUGUUUGCUUACAUUAGUGAAAGGUUCGGUUAUGAACGAAUUUUGGUUUGGUUUGUCUAUAAAAAACGAUGUAAAAAUUGAAACGAUAUAAAAUAAAUUCUACAUUUAGAAAUUGGGAAAUGGUUAAAUGAGCGGUAUUGCCAUCAAAGCUGGGUCCAGUUGUGCGUUAUUUUUAAUUUUAUUAUCCUCGUGUUUCGGAUUGUGGAGAUUUAUUUAAUUAUCUCUUACUUUGGUUGCUUCCACAGAUUUGGAUCUUUAGAAGAAGAGCUUUCACGCGCCAUGUCGACUGGUUUAGACUUUAGUGGACUCAUCACUCACUUAAGUGGAUCAACCUCGCAUCUAGAUUGGAUUUUUUUGUUUGUUUGAUAAAUGAGAUUUGGCACGUUAAAUUUGUUUGUUUAAGAGCUAGACGUUUG